rnacentral:lncRNA from 1 species
AGCUACUCAGGAGGCUGAGGCAGGAGGAUCACUUGAGCCCAUGAAUUUUGGAUUGCAGUGAGCUAUGAUUGCACCAAUGCACUCCAGCCUGCUGGAUGACAAAGCAAGAUCCUGUCUCAAAAGGAGAGAGGGAAGGAAGGAAGGGAGGGAGGGAAUCACUGUGGGAAGGAGAAACAAUGGGAGCAGAGGCAAGGGUGGAGGCAGAGAGACUGGAUGGGAGCAGAGGCAAGGGUGGAGGCAGAGAGACUGGUUGUGAGGCCGCUGCAGUUAUCCAGGUGGGGGUUGGUGGUGAGCAGACCAGAGAGCUGGAGGUAGAACAUAGAACAGAUAACAAUUCUGGAGGUAGGAACCACAAGGACUUGGGGGCUCAUUGGCCAAGGGAGAUGAAGGAGGAGAGGCUGAGGAAGGAGGAGCAGAGUGAAGCUGUGUGUUGGGAG